rnacentral:tRNA from 3 species
GUCCCCAUCGUCUAGCCAGGUCCAGGACACAGGCCUUUCACGCCUGCGACAGGGGUUCGAAUCCCCUUGGGGACGCCA